AUAGGAUUCAGGGACCAGUAAAGUGAAUUCACCAACGCGGAAAUCAAAAGAUGCUUUGGAUUGGAGGUAGUCCAGAUUAAGGAGCACCUAUUGGUGAUUAAGCCCCGCUUAUAAUCAGCUCUGGUUUGAAUCUAGAUGAAAUCCAAUUAUACAUUCUCGUGGAAAGGCAGUAAAUGGAGCAAGAACAUGGACCAACUGACUCGGUAGCCCAAGAAUUCCUUGACGUGGAUAGUUGCUUACAGCUUCCUUUUGAAAUUUUACCGAAUGAACAAGAUAUAGUCAUGUCUACUUGAUGAAAAGUGUGAUUGAGCAACAUAUGGAUCUAUUCCUCAGUCAAACUUUACAGACUCGGUUGGGGUACAAAUUUAUAAGUGGGUUAUCUGUUGUUGAAUUUUCUUUGUUUACAAGCAGAGGGUGUUGUUAAACUGGCGGAGGAAGUGGGAUAUGUAGAUCUUGCUCAUUUCCCUGAGCUUCCAGAGCCGGAUAUUUUACACGCUAUAUAGGUAUGAUAACUAAGAGGACAAGAAGGGUGUGUUUUUCUUUUUCUUUUUGCUGAGCUUUGUGAUAAUUACAGAGAGGUGGUUCCUGAUGAAGUAAAGAAGCUGUACCUAUUGCUGCUCCAAAUGACAGAUGUCUUUAUUUUUGAAACUUUGUUUAGUUCAGGUUUGUAGGAUCCAUCCAAUUUUUGGCAGUGUGGUCUGGAUAACUCAAAAGACUUCAAAAAGCUAGUGAAAGCUCAGAAAUGCGUGCGAACUUGGAACCGUCUAUGGAUUCACCGAAGAAAAUAGCUUUCUAUAUCCUGGAUUGCUACAGGUGCAGUGAGAAUGUGUUGUUUGUUCUUCACAAUAACCAACCAACCCCGUUAGAAUCGGUAUGUAAUGGUAUAGAACUUUAGAUUCCCUGAUCCGAGUUAGUGACCAACGGUAUUAGAACAUUUCCAAUGGCACUCUAUUUUCUCUUCUAUAAUUCUCGUAAAAAUAGAGUAAUUCUAUUAUAAAGUAAAUUUUGCUCUAAUAAUUUACACUAUAAUAGAUUUACUCUAUUUUCAUAGAGUUGGAUUGGAGAUGAUCUUAAUGGAGAAUUGACUAAUGUUAAUCAACAUAUUAUAACGCUAUUCAACAUAUUAUGUACUAUCUAUG